CCUACGGGGGGCUGCAGUGGGGAAUUUUGGACAAUGGGCGCAAGCCUGAUCCAGCCAUGCCGCGUGAGUGAAGAAGGCCUUCGGGUUGUAAAGCUCUUUCGGCGGGGAAGAAAUUGCACGGGUUAAUACCCUGUGUAGAUGACGGUACCCGAAUAAGAAGCACCGGCUAACUACGUGCCAGCAGCCGCGGUAAUACGUAGGGUGCGAGCGUUAAUCGGAAUUACUGGGCGUAAAGCGUGCGCAGGCGGUUUGGUAAGUCAGAUGUGAAAUCCCCGGGCUCAACCUGGGAACUGCAUUUGAGACUGCCAGGCUGGAGUUUGGCAGAGGGGGGUGGAAUUCCACGUGUAGCAGUGAAAUGCGUAGAGAUGUGGAGGAACACCGAUGGCGAAGGCAGCCCCCUGGGCCAAUACUGACGCUCAUGCACGAAAGCGUGGGGAGCAAACAGGAUUAGAUACCCCUGUAGUC
rnacentral:rRNA from 1 species